GGAUGUGAGGGUGAUCUGGCUGGGCAGGUAUUCCAUUCCUCCCUUCCUGCUUCAUUGCUCCCCCCCAAAACUAAGUGCACAGUUGAAAAGGAGAACAUUCUCCAGAAGAGGAGGACCAUCAUUCAGUAGGGGUGUUUGAGUAGCAGCAGUCCACUGCUAGAACCUCCAGGCACGCUUUCAAGAAGAAAUUUGUAAUUAAACUUAAAGCUAGCUGCUUUGGUAGCUCAUAUGUGUGAUCUCAGCAUUUGGGAGAUGGAGAC
ensembl:misc_RNA 7SK 7SK RNA